UCUGUUGAACUGAAUACAUUUGUAUGCUAUUUCUUCACUUCUAUUUGUGAAAGAUAUAACCAUGUUAUCAAAAUUUAGGUAACAGAGAAAGAAAUACCUAGGCUUCAGAGUUUCCCAAUGCUUUAAUUUUUUUUUUUAAAUAAUGCUCAUCCUUUUUUGUGUAUGUUUUUACAUAGUUGAAAUACAGUAUAUAUGCAAAUAGUAUAGGGCAGACUGUUUCACGUUUCAUAAUCAUGUUAUCUUACACAGCAUUCACAGACACCAUUUUAAUAGUAUAAUUUUUAAUUGCCAUUAUUUACCUAGCCUUUUCUCUAUACUCAAACUCAAUCACUGCAUAAAUUUGAAUUACAUCUCUGACAAGGAGCUCAGGGAUUAUCGGUGCCACAUCCUUCACAAAGAGGGCAAAACCCAGAGGCAAAACAGCUAAGUGAAUCCCAUCAGAAUCACAUAGCCAUGACACGGGCAGCAGGCUAGCAGAACUGACUGGAACUACUACUCUAGCUGACUGCUUCUCAAAAUUCUAGUCUCAAAUGUUUAUUACCGGUCCACACUGAGACAAGGUUUUGCAAAAGAAUAAGGAAAACAGUGCGCUGAUUUAUAUUCUCUGACUGAUCAGUAGUUUCAGCUCACCUAUUGGCAUCAGUCCACAGGUUAUGCAUUGAGUAGUACCGCUCUAAC